rnacentral:rRNA from 1 species
AUGACGGCCUUCGGGGUGUAAACCUCUUUUGGUAGGGAAGAAGCCUUCGGGUGACGGUACCUGCAGAAAAAGCACCGGCUAACUACGUGCCAGCAGCCGCGGUAAUACGUAGGGUGCAAGCGUUAUCCGGAAUUAUUGGGCGUAAAGAGCUCGUAGGCGGUUUGUCGCGUCUGCUGUGAAAUCCCGGGGCUCAACUUCGGGCGUGCAGUGGGUACGGGCAGACUAGAGUGCGGUAGGGGAGAUUGGAAUUCCUGGUGUAGCGGUGGAAUGCGCAGAUAUCAGGAGGAACACCGAUGGCGAAGGCAGAUCUCUGGGCCGUAACUGACGCUGAGGAGCGAAAGGGUGGGGAGCAAACAGGCUUAGAUACCCUGGUAGUCCACCCCGUAAACGGUGGGAACUAGUUGUGGGGUCCUUUCCACGGAUUCCGUGACGCAGCUAACGCAUUAAGUUCCCCGCCUGGGGAGUACGGCCGCAAGGCUAAAACUCAAAGG